UGGGGAAUAUUGCACAAUGGAGGGAACUCUGAUGCAGCGACGCCGCGUGAACGAAGAAGGCUUUCGAGUCGUAAAGUUCUUUUAUAUGGGAAGAUAAUGACGGUACCAUAAGAAAAAGCCCCGGCUAACUACGUGCCAGCAGCCGCGGUAAUACGUAGGGGGCUAGCGUUGUCCGGAAUCACUGGGCGUAAAGGGUUCGCAGGCGGAAAUGCAAGUCAGGUGUAAAAGGCAGUAGCUUAACUACUGUAAGCAUUUGAAACUGCAUAUCUUGAGAAGAGUAGAGGUAAGUAGAAUUUUUAGUGUAGCGGUGAAAUGCGUAGAUAUUAAAAAGAAUACCGGUGGCGAGGGCGGCUUACUGGGCUCAUUCUGACGCUGAGGAACGAAAGCGUGGGUAGCAAACAGG
rnacentral:rRNA from 1 species